rnacentral:rRNA from 2 species
AACGUAGGUACCGAGCGUUAUCCGGAUUCACUGGGCGUAAAGCGCGUGCAGGUGGUUUGGUAAGUCGGGCAUGAAAACUCUUGGCUCAACUGAGAGACGCUGUCCGAUACUGUCAAACUUGAGGGUGUGAGAGGGAGGUGGAAUUCCGCAUGUAGUGGUGAAAUGCGUAGAUAUGCGGAGGAACACCAGUGGCGAAGGCGGCCUCCUGGCACACUCCUGACACUCAGACGCGAAAGCUAGGGGAGCGAACGGG